CAUCACGUGGACUGGCAUCAUCGGCAUACUAUGGCUUCUGCUCACCGCUGAUACAACUAGCUGCUUUUUCCUCCUGGGGUGCGUCUGCUUGCCUUACAGCUGAAACCCACUUCCUGAGAUGAGCACCAGGAGGUUUGCCCACUGACCUGGGCCACUUCCGCCUCUCUUGGAUAGGCCUGGCUCCCUCUUCUGUCCUUUCCAGUCCUCAGAGCAGACCCUGCUCUGGCUCUCCCCCAGCUGCACCCUCUCCACAGAAUGAGAAGACCAAAGCGACCUGCCCCGUGCCCACCCUUCAGUCAUCCCAGAAGUCCCCUUCGCCUGCACCCCGCCUCACACACACAUUGAAGACAGGAGGGUCAGCUGCAGUGGCAAGAUGCCCGAGACUCCACCAUAGGACAGCACGGCUUUGGGCACGCGUGGCCCCUCUCUGCGCACUAACUGAGCCUGCCAAAAAUCCUGUGAGUCACCAGGAUCUCAGGGCAUCUUGCAGAGAAGGGAAAGCAGAGAUCCGGGGAGCCGUGGCUGGACCCCCGGACGCCCAGGCCCCCUUCCGCAGCAGCCCGGCUGGGCGUCGGAAGUUGCACGGUCCCUUUCCCAGAAUGACGCCAAAUUCUUUCGAGAGGCACCCCAAACCCGGAGA